UGUGGUUGUUUAUGACGCGCGUGUGUACGGGCAGCGAGGCACUAGUAGAAAUGUUUGAUUCCUUGGAUUGUGUGUACAAGGUAUUAGUUUCAUUACAACAUAUAUAUUUAACACAUAUUCUCGUAAUUCGGAGCAAUUUUACUAGUGCGCGAGAAGUAGCUUUCUUUAGCAGUGCAUAUGUGCAGGCGAUCAUGCCCCAAGUUUAUACUUAGCUGAAGUAAAGCUGGCAGCUAAUUUAGGCUAACUAUCCAAAGAGAAGGCUGUUCAGGCUUAAAGCUGCCCACUCACUUCCUGUCAGUGCAGCACUAGAGACUCAAGUUCCCCAGGUGAAAGAAACCUGUCCUGAUAAAUGUCACAAGUUGAUACCCGAGGAUAGUCUGAUUCCCCGAACUCAAGUGACAUCAUUCCAGUGAGAGGACUACACCGAAUUAUAGGACAAUGAAAGGUGGAUCUCGGAAAAAAAGAAGAAGUGAACCUAAAAAGAGACAAACUAAAGUUGCUUCAAACACCGAUUCGUCUCCAGCUACAGAGGAAUCAAACUAUGGGCCAGGUGGUGAUUUAGCCAUCGACAGCAAGUCCACAACAUGUUCCUUACCAAGUACUCCAAAAAGAGGCAGGAGACAAACGGGAUGGAGACAAGAAGCCUACCGGACCUCCACACCAGUACAUAGGUCAUCCACUGUCAACUUGGUGAAUACAGAGUCUCCUGAAGCAAAACAAGCUGACCUAGAAUACACCAAAAUCUCUACUCAAUUAAAGACAUCAGAGGUCCAGUCCACAUACUGCAAAACAAAAUUUCAA